rnacentral:rRNA from 1 species
UCGAGGAUCUUCGGCAAUGGGCGAAAGCCUGACCGAGCGACGCCGCGUGUGCGAUGAAGGCCUUCGGGUUGUAAAGCACUGUCGUGGGGGAGAAAGACCGCAAGGUUUGAUCGACCCCAGGAGGAAGCUCGGGCUAAGUUCGUGCCAGCAGCCGCGGUAAGACGAACCGAGCGAACGUUAUUCGGAAUCACUGGGCUUAAAGGGCGCGUAGGCGGGCGGUCAAGUCCGGGGUGAAAGCCCCCAGCUCAACUGGGGAAGUGCCUCGGAUACUGAUCGCCUCGAGGGAGAUAGGGGCGUGCGGAACUUCCGGUGGAGCGGUGAAAUGCGUAGAUAUCGGAAGGAACACCGGUGGCGAAAGCGGCGCGCUGGAUCUCUUCUGACGCUGAGGCGCGAAAGCCAGGGGAGCGAACG